UACGUAGGUGGCGAGCGUUGUCCGGAUUUACUGGGCGUAAAGGGAGCGUAGGCGGACUUUUAAGUGAGAUGUGAAAUACCCGGGCUUAACUUGGGUGCUGCAUUUCAAACUGGAAGUCUAGAGUGCAGGAGAGGAGAAUGGAAUUCCUAGUGUAGCGGUGAAAUGCGUAGAGAUUAGGAAGAACACCAGUGGCGAAGGCGAUUCUCUGGACUGUAACUGACGCUGAGGCUCGAAAGACGUGGGGAGGCAAACAGGAUUAGAUACCCUGGUA
rnacentral:rRNA from 1 species